rnacentral:ncRNA from 1 species
UCGAGGUUCCGCCCUGUAAUCGGGUGGACGAAGAGGGAAUCGCGUGCAAAUCGCGAGCUGUCGCGCAACUGUAAAUCACCAGCGUUCCGGCAGGCAACCGUGCCAUUGGACCCUGCAGCGGGUUUGAGAAGGCGCUGUGCCGGGGGUGAAAGCCAGGAGACCUGCCCCGAUG